CAUUCAGUCAACUUCAGUUAACUCCAAUCACCUAAACAAUCCUGAUAUCAUCAUGGUUUCUUCAAAGAUCACCAUUCUCGCAAUCGUCCUGUUCGCCUGCAUCAUGCAUACUCAAGCUGCGUCAUCUGACGAAGACAAGGACACUGACGGCGGCUUUUCUCUUAGUAAUUCAGAAGCCAUCAAGAACUUCAACAAAAUCUUGUCAGAGAUCUCCAAGAAUCCAGCACAAACCUUUUCAAUCCUUACUAAUUCGAUUAGGGGAAAGGCAAAGGGUUCAUCGAAGAACAAGGGCUCCGACAAGGACGAUAACUAAUUCAAUUGUAUAUUUGUGUGAAUAAUUUUAUAAGGGUGUACUUUAUAAAUAUAAUAAAAAAUGAUGCAGCA